rnacentral:lncRNA from 1 species
GCAAACUAUCAGCUCUGUCUGCUCAUCUCUCGGCUUGAGCAUUGCUGGCUUAUGCAGCUUCCAGGUGUUCUCGCCAGGCCCUCUGUUCUUUCAAAAUGGAAAUCAGCCACCCAGUUCAGCACCCACAGUCCCUUGGGAUCCCCCUAAGAAAGCAGUGGAUGGGUCUCCAGAAACUGGUUUUGUCAAGGAUUCCUGUAUUCAGCCACUAUGAGAGAUUGCCUCCUGGUGCCUCUGGGAUCCAUAGAAACUAGGGAUGUUGAUGACUAGCAGUUGAAGGGACUGCUGUCAUGAGGAGCUCAAUGGAGCCACGAUUCUGCUUGGAGAAGAACCUGGUACCAAAUGGAAGCAAAAUACCAGAUCCGGUUCUAUCAAAAUGGAAGCUAGCCACCCAGUCCAGCACUACAAGACCUUUGGGCCUGAGAAGGCAGUGGAAUGGGUCUCUAGAAACUGACUUUGACAAGGGCUCCUAUAUUCAAACAUGACUGGAGGCUGACCCCUGGUGGAUGGUAGACCUGGGAUCUCUGUACGCUGGAAAUGGUGGUGAUUAUCAACCUAAGGGAGUGCUGUCAGGAGGAGCUUAACAGAACCAUGACAAAUGGGAGACUCACCUAGUAAUCGUGAGAAGUUAAAUUUUAAGGAUAAAAGGAAAAUUACUUUUGAAAGAUGAUCAAAUCCAUGUGUUUUUUGUUGUUGAUCUAAGGAAAAUUUUUUAAUUAAACCCAUUUUUUUAAAAGUCAGC